rnacentral:lncRNA from 1 species
AUGGUGACAAUAAUGGGGACAUUGGAAUGGGGGACAAAAUGGUGACAUUGGAAUGGGGGACAAAAUGGGGGACAAAAUGGGGACAUGGAUGGGGACAAAAUGGUGGCACUAAAAUGGAAGACAAAAUGGGGGACAAAAUGGUGACAUUGGAAUUGGGGACAAAAUGGUGGCAUUGAAAUGGGGACAAAAUGGGGACAUAAA